AACGAACGCUGGCGGCAGGCCUAACACAUGCAAGUCGAACGCCCCGCAAGGGGAGUGGCGCACGGGUGAGUAACGCGUGGGAAUAUGCCCUUCGGUUCGGAAUAACACAGGGAAACUUGUGCUAAUACCGGAUACGAUCUACGGAUGAAAGAUUUAUCGCCGAGGGAGUAGCCCGCGUAGGAUUAGCUAGUUGGUGAGGGAAUGGCUCACCAAGGCGACGAUCCUUAGCUGGUCUGAGAGGAUAAUCAGCCACACUGGGACUGAGACACGGCCCAGACUGCUACGGGAGGCAGCAGUGGGGAAUAUUGGACAAUGGGCGAAAGCCUGACGCAGCAACGCCGCGUGCGGGAUGACGGCCUUCGGGUUGUAAACCGCUUUCAGCAGGGAAGAAGCCGCAAGGUGACGGUACCUGCAGAAGAAGCACCGGCUAACUACGUGCCAGCCGCCGCGGUAA
rnacentral:rRNA from 1 species